GAAGAGCAUCCUACGGGAGGCAGCAGUGGGGAAUAUUGCACAAUGGGCGCAAGCCUGAUGCAGCCAUGCCGCGUGUAUGAAGAAGGCCUUCGGGUUGUAAAGUACUUUCAGCAGUGAGGAAGGUGGGUAUGUUAAUAGCAUACUCAUUUGACGUUAGCUGCAGAAGAAGCACCGGCUAACUCCGUGCCAGCAGCCGCGGUAAUACGGAGGGUGCGAGCGUUAAUCGGAAUUACUGGGCGUAAAGCGCAUGCAGGUGGUUGUUAAGUCAGAUGUGAAAGCCCGGGGCUCAACCUCGGAAUUGCAUUUGAAACUGGCAAACUAGAGUACUGUAGAGGGGGUAGAAUUUCAGGUGUAGCGGUGAAAUGCGUAGAGAUCUGAAGGAAUACCGGUGGCGAAGGCGGCCCCCUGGACAGAUACUGACACUCAGAUGCGAAAGCGUGGGGAGCAAACAGGAUUAGAUACCCUGGUAG
rnacentral:rRNA from 1 species